ACCCAAUGGCUGACUAUCCGGUUCACAUUUUGACCACUCUUCGACAACUUUCGACAAGCAUUUCAGCUCUUCAGAAUAAUACUUCUUGCCGUCCAAAACCUCUGAUAAAACGUCUGGAAGUUCACAAACCUCACAGAAAUCCGUCUGCCAGACUUCGUCCACCCAAGCCUUGGGAAUUUCUGAUAAACUAAGCUGGGAAAGGCUCUCAACUGUCGAUUCUGCGAGACCGGCCAUUUUGGAAAAUAUUGUUGCAAAUCAA